AUUGAACGCUGGCGGCAUGCCUUACACAUGCAAGUCGAACGGCAGCACGGGUGCUUGCACCUGGUGGCGAGUGGCGAACGGGUGAGUAAUACAUCGGAACGUACCUUAUCGUGGGGGAUAACGCAGCGAAAGCUGUGCUAAUACCGCAUACGCCCUGAGGGGGAAAGCGGGGGAUCGAAAGACCUCGCGCGAUUAGAGCGGCCGAUGCCUGAUUAGCUAGUUGGUGGGGUAAAAGCCCACCAAGGCGACGAUCAGUAGCUGGCCUGAGAGGACGAUCAGCCACACUGGGACUGAGACACGGCCCAGACUCCUACGGGAGGCAGCAGUGGGGAAUUUUGGACAAUGGGGGCAACCCUGAUCCAGCAAUGCCGCGUGAGUGAAGAAGGCCUUCGGGUUGUAAAGCUCUUUUGUCAGGGAAGAAACACCGGCUCUAACACAGUCCGGGAAUGACGGUACCUGAAGAAUAAGCACCGGCUAACUACGUGCCAGCCGCCGCGGUAA
rnacentral:rRNA from 1 species